GAAUCUAGCCUGCCCGGUGAGAGCUUAUCUUAAACGGCCGCGGUACUCUGACCGUGCGAAGGUAGCAUAAUCAUUUGUCUUUUAAUAGGAGUCUAGUAUGAAUGGUCUGUCAAGAAUAUAACUGUCUCUCCCCUCUUCUAUAGAACUUUAUUUUUAAGUUAAAAAGCUUAAAUAUAAUAAAAAGACAAGAAGACCCUAUCGAGCUUAUAGAGAUUGGUAGAUUUAAAUUUAUUAAUAAAGAGAUUAACUUUGUAGCUUUCUUUGGUUGGGGCGACUUGGGAACAAAUAAAGCUUCCUAUAAUGUAAAAAACUGUCGGGUGUUGAUCCAUUUUUUGAUUAAAGGAAUUAGUUACCGUAGGGAUAACAGCAUAAUCCUCUUUGAGAGUUCUAAUCGAAAGGGGGGUUUGUGACCUCGAUGUUGGAUCAAAAUAUCCUAAAGAUGUAGCAGUCUUUAAGGGUUGGCC
rnacentral:rRNA from 1 species